GACGAACGCUGGCGGCGUGCUUAACACAUGCAAGUCGAGCGGAGCGGCGGACGGGUGAGUAACGCGUGAGUAACUGCCCCCCUCUCUGGGAUAACAGUUGGAAACGGCUGGUAAUACCGGAUAGUGGGGGAUGACUCGGGUCCGAUCAGCUUGUUGGUGGGGUAGUGGCCUACGAAGGCGACGACGGGUAGCCGGCCUGGGAGGGCGACCGGCCACAUAGGGCUGAGAUCCGACCCAAGCUACUACGGGAGGCAGCAGUGGGGAAUAUGGCACAAUGGGGGAAACACUGAUGCAGCAACGUCGCGGGCGGGAUGACGGCCUUCGGUUUGGAAACCGCUUUCAGCCAUGACGCGGUAGUUGCAGAAGAAGCACCGGCUAACUACGUGCCAGCAGCCGCGGUAAUAC
rnacentral:rRNA from 1 species